CACACUAGUAAAUCAAAAUAACUUCACCGGUACUCAAGGAGACAUUCAUCAAACUGUUGAUGGAAUGACUGUUAUUAGUGAAAGCAGAGAUGAAGCUAAUAACACGAGAAAUGGACUUCUGAGGCCAAAAUCCCUACUUAGAGUGGGUGGAUGGAAUGUCCGCACCAUGUACGAAGUAGGAAAAACUGCGCAAAUUGAAAAAGAAAUGUUGAACUAUAACAUCGAUAUACUGGGCAUAAGUGAAUGCAGAUGGACAGGUUAUGGGUCAGUUAUAACAACAAAUGGACAGAAGAUAGUUUACUCUGGGAGAAAAGAUAAUAUCCAUAGAGAAGGUGUAGCCAUCAUAAUGAAUAAGCAAGCAAGUAAAGCUCUUAUAGAAUGGAAAACCUAUAGAUGAGAGAAUAAUAACAGCAAGAUUCCAUUCAAAAUAUGUUAAACUUACUCUGAUUCAAUGCUAUGCACCAACUAAUGAAGCAGACAUUGAAACUAAAACCGACUUCUAUGAAAAGCUCAGAAGUGUAAUGGAAGGAGUACAUGCCCAUGAUGUUGUACUGGUAAAUGGAGACUUGAAUGCCAAAGUAGGUAAUGACAACAUCGGAGUGGAGAGAAUAAUGGGUAACAACGGAUGUGGAACUUGUAAUGAAAACGGAAACCUGCUGAUUGAAUUUUGUGGACUAAAUGAUCUGGUUAUUGGUGGUACACUGUUCCAGCACAAAGAGAUACAUAAACUUACAUGGACAUCGCCAAACAGGAGAGACAAAAAUCAAAUUGACCAUCUAAUGAUAAAUGGCAGAUGGCGGCAUUCACUGAAUGAUGUAUCUGUAAAAAGAGGGGCAGACUGUGGAAGUGACCACUUCCUGAUUAUCGGCAAAAUUAAAUUGAAACUCAAGAAAGCUCCGAAGAUAAACGAGCUGAGCAGGAAAACAUUUGAUCUGCAGAGACUGAAGGACAACAAAAUAAGACAAAAAUUUAAUACUGAAGUAAAAAACAGAUACCAAGUACUCCGUGAAAUUGAUGACAAUAAUGAAAACAUGGGUGAAAACAUAACUGAAAUUUGGGAUAACAUCAAGGACAUUUAUACUAAAACAGCUGAGAAAGUAUUGGGUUUAAAGAACAGAAAAAGAAAACAGUGGCUGUCAGACAAGACUUGGGAAAACAUCAAGGAAAGGAAAGCCAUAAAAAUAAAACUUAAU
rnacentral:lncRNA from 1 species